UACAAGACCUCAACAAUAACGUGACAACAAUAAAGNCUAAAAUACAAACAUCUCAUAGAUGGAUAGAAAAUUGAUAAAAUUCAACAUAGUGUAAAUUCUCAGCAAACUAGGAAUGGAGCAGACAUCCUUACACUGAUGAUUGGCAUCUACAAAAAUAUCUAAAGUUAACAUAAGCCUUAAUUGUGAAACAAUGAAUUCUUUCCCUCUUAAGAGUGGAAGUAAUGCUAGUGGGGCACAGCAACCCCUGCCUUUGAUCCCAGCCACUUGGGAGACUGAGGCAGGAAGAUGGCAACUUUGAGGCCAGUCUCUGCAACUUGGACACUGUGUUAAAAUAAAAAGGGUAGGAAAUGUAGUUUAGUGGUAGAGCACCCCUGGGUUCAGUCCACAGUGCAAAAAAAAAAAAAAAGAUUAAGAAUAAUGCAUAAUACAAGGAUGUGAAUACUUUUGUCAGUUAUAUUCGAUAUUUCACAGGCUGUUCUAGCCAAUAAAAUAAGGCACGAAAAAGUAAAACAGUUUUGGGCUGGGGAUGUGGCUCAAGCGGUAGUGCGCUCGCCUGGCAUGUGUGCGGCCCGGAUUCGAUCCUCAGCACCACAUACAAAGAAAGAUGUGACCGCCGAAAACUAAAAAAUAAAUAUUAAAAUUUUAAAAAAAACAUUAAAAAAAGUAAAACAGUUUUUAUUUACAGACAACAUGUGAAUCUAUAUAAAAGAACCCACAAAAAGCCAAUUGAAUAACUAACAUGAUACAUUAUCACAACAAAAACAAUUCAAUUGUAUUUAUUUAUACUAGCUACAGACAAAAUUGAAAUUAAAAAAAAUAAAUGUCCUUUACUAUAGCAUGAAAUAUUUAGUGAUACUUUUAAUGAAAUAUGUGUAAGACUUGUACACAGAAACCUACAAAACCCCGUUGAAAGAAAUUGAAACAGUCUUAAAUAGAAACUUAUACCACAUUAAUGGUUUGGAAAACUCAGGAUUGUAGAUAUGUUAAUUGUCCCCCAGAUUCAGUGCAAUCCAAAUCAAAAUUGCUGUAGCCAUUUUAUUUUAUUUUAUUUUAUUUUAGUACUGGUGAUUGAACCCAUAGCCUCAUGCAUGCUAGGCAGUCAUUCUGUCACUAAGCUACAUUCCCAGCCCUUUUAAAAUUUUUAUUUUGAGAUAGGGUCUCCCUAAAUUGCCCAGGCUGGCCUCAAGCUUGUGUGCUCCUCCUGCCUCAGCUUCCUGAGAAGGUGGGAUCACAGGCAUGCACCACCAUGGCUGAUUGACUUUUUUUGAUUGCGGGGUAGGUGCUAGAAAUUGACCAGCUGGUUAAUACAAAAAUGUAUAUGGGAAAGUAAAGGAACUUGAAUGGCCUAAUAAUUUUAUGAAGGGCAAGGAAUGUUGGGGAAUGCACAAUACCUGAUUUUAAGAUUUAUUUUAAGACAACAAUAAUCAAGUUCUACUUCCAGCAUGUCAGCACGAGGAGCUCCACAUACCCACUCCCUUGUAAAAGUUAUGAAAAAAACAACCACUUAAAGUCUCUGAAAAUGUUCCUGUGAGCAUACAGCAGAUGAAGAAACAUUUAUUCAAGGAAGGUGCUCUUGGAUACACCAGUCUAUAACAGAGCUUACCUCUCCUGUCAAGUGGAAUGGGGAAGGCAGAUAGUCUUAUCAACACCAGGCUAGUCUAAAACACCAAGACUAAACUUUAGUUUAAACUUUAGUAGAUUUCUGUGAGAAAAUGUUUAUUCAUUUAUUCUAAGUUUCAGGCAAGUGAUGGUAAGAAGUAGGGGCUCUCUCCUUUAAUUCAUCCUCCAAUGGUAGGACAGAGGCUCUACCUUGGGUGCAACACUGCUAAAAAUAGUGGGACUUCCGUAUGUGUUGUCCUAGAUCAUAAAGCAGUAUUUUCAAACUGGGAAAGGUUAAGUCAAGAACAUGUGAAGUUGUUGCCUCCCCCUGCAUCAAACCCUCAGCUCCUAGAGUGGGUGUAUUGCUCAAAGAAAAUUGUGCCUUUAUCUAUCUAUCUAUCUAUCUAUUUCCAGGGAUUGAACCCAGGGGUACUUAACCAUUGAACCUCGUGACCGGCCCUUUUUUUGUAUUUUAUUUAGAGACAGGGUCUCACUGAGUUGCUUAGGGCCUUGCUAAGUUGCUGAGGCUGACUUUGAAUUCUUAAUCCUCCUGCCUCAGUCUCCCGAGCCACUGGGAUUACAGGCAUGUGUCACCACGCCCAGCAAAAUGUGCCAUUUUUUUCCCCACUCCCCAACUACAAAAUUUUGGCUCAGAUUUUGAAGCAGAUAGUUCUGAAUUUCUUCCCAAAGGAAUUCACUGAAUUUGCAAUGGAAUGUUGAGAAGGUCAAACUUAAUGGCACUUUCAAAAACAGUGGAGGUUGUGUAGAAAGGCAACUGGUAGGAGACUGGUGGGGAUGAAGUAGCCCAGGAAAGGCCUGUUUUUCUAUGCUUUCUUUCUAAGUGCCAUAACCAGUGCCAUCUUUCUGUCUGGCAACAAUUGCAGCAGUGACCUACACCUGCAUGUGCAGUCAAAACCAAUGUUACUACUGCUUCUAACCACUGCCAGUGCCACCCCUGUCACCAAUGUGGAUGAUGGAUCUUGCCCAGACACUUUCCUUGCAGCCUCCUAGUGUUAAAUUAUUAUAAAUCUAAAGACGAUUAUGAUAAGUUGUACAUAGUAUGGCCUAGAGCAACCACUAAGGAAAUAACUCAAAAAGUGAAAAAAAAAAUUAUUAGGGAAAUUUAAAUGCUACAUUAUAAAAUAUUCAUUUCAUGCAAAAGAAGGCAGCAAAGUAGAAAAUUUAAAAACCAAAAUUACAUGAAACACGGCAAACAAAGAGUAAAAUGGCAAACAUAAUAUCUUGCAAUAAUAACAUCAAAUGUGAAUGGAUUAAACAAUCUGAUUAAAAGGUAGAGCUUAUUAGACUGGAUAGGGAAACAAGACCCAACUAUAUGGUCUACAGGAGACAAAUUAAAUUCAAUGAUACAUAUAGAUUGAUACAAGUUAAAGGAAGAAAAGGUAUUCACAAAAACAACUACAAGAAAGUUGAAAUGGAUAGCCUAAUUUUAUCUAAUGGUAUGCAUAUAUUUACCAUUUGCCCCAGCAAUUGUACUCCUAGAGAAUUCUAAUCAAGAGAAAUUAAAUUAUAUUUCCACACAAAGACCUGUAUUGACAUAUUCAUAUACUUUUAUUCAUAAUAACGAAAUUAGAACACAACACAAAUAUCCAGCAACAUGUAUAUGGAUUAAAAGAGAAAACCCGAGGUAUACUCAUCCAAAGGAAUAGUACUCUCUAAUAAAAAACAAAGUACUGACGGAUGUAACAACAUGGAGUUAUCUAAAAUAUGCUAAAGAGGGCAGAUGUAAUAGGCUAUACAUUAUAUGAUUUCAUCUAAAUGGCAUUCUGGAAAAGGCAAAACCAUAGGAACAGAAAUAAUAUCCAUGGUUGCCAGAGUGUGGGAGUGGGAGAAGGAAUCUGAUUGCAAAUGGGCACAAGUGAACAUUUUAGAGUGAUGGAAAUUCUCUGUAUUUUGUUGUGGUAGUUAAACAACUGUAUACAUUCAUCAAAAUUCAACAACCUGUAUGUCUUAAAAGGUUGACAAUUAUUUAUUUUAUAAAUUACAUUUCCAAACCUGACUUUUUAAGAAAAAGGAAAAUAAAUAUUCAUAUUUUAGUCUAUCUCUGCCAAGCUAAUGAUGUCACCACUUCUAUAGACUAGCUGAUAAAGCCCCUCUCCCUAGUUAGGCAUGGUAAUCCCAUCUAUUGUGGAGGCUGAGGCAGGAGGAUCACAAGUAGGAGGCCAUCCAAUUUAGUAAGAUCCUGUCUCAAAAAAUAAAAAUGGCUGGGGGUGUAGCUCAGUGGUAGAUCCCUUGCCUAGCAUGGGUGAAACUUUGGGUUCCAUCCCCAGUACAGAAGGAAAGGAAGGAGGGAGGGAAGAAGGGAGGAAGGAAGACCUCUCUUCCUGUUAUAACUGGCACAGAACUAAAGGAACUAUGGAGAUGACAAGUGCCACUUAUCCAGCCAGCCACCACUGGACAAAACAUUGAGAAGGAUGGAGACAAUUUUCUCUAUAAUACACUUGUCUCGGCACUAUGAGGUACAGAUGUGCUAUCUGUCCAGCAGGUUGCCAGUGGAUCCUCCCAAUAAGCAUUUUUCAAUAAACCUUAUGUCUCACACCCCAUCUCCAGGUGUCGUCUUUGGUCUCUUGGCAACCUAUUCUACUGCCCUAGCAUGACUAGGCUAUGGAAGUUACACUAACCAAGGCCUUCGAGGCAUGGUGUAACCCUGCCUACCUCUCUAGCAAUAAGGAAAUAAAAGCUUCCACUUAUUGGGCUUCUUUCACAUCCUCAAAGUUCUUAAAUUUCUCCACUGACACUGGCUUCUCUUCCUGAAAGGACCUGAUUAGUUAAUAACUUCUAUGCAUCCUUCACAUUUCAACUUGAGCAUUGCUUCUGGGGAAGACUUAUCUAAAGAUCCUGCUGAGGUGAUUUUCCCCAAAACCCUGAAGUUACCAAUCAGAAGUAAUUUCUACAUUUAUAUGUGGGAUUAUUAGAUAAACUGUUGUCUUAUGAUUUCAAGUAAACUCCAUGAGAGAAGAGCUGUAUCUUGUUUUUUUUUUUGUUUUGUUUUGUUUUUUUUCAUUGCUUCCCCAGGCACCUAGAAUGAUUAGAACAUAGUCAGAUUUUGGCAAACCAUUGUUAGUUGAAUAAAGCUUCUCCCUCCAUCUUUGUUCAAUACACACAAACUAUCAUCAUAGUUAUUCAACUGAAAGAGCCAUUUCUGGGCAGCCACUCUGAUCUGGAUUAGGAGGCUGAAGAGUACUGGUAGUUUUGCUAGAGGGUGCCUUUGAAGAUCCCCAAAGGUGCACAGUACUACUCCCAGUCAAGCUAAAAAGUCUUCUGUCUGUCACUGGUAAGGGUCAGGAAGCUUCAUACCUUCAGACAUUCAAUGUCUACUUGUCACAGCUCAUGGCAAAUCCUAAGAAUGUGAAUUGCUAAGUGUAAAUAAUUCCCUCCCUCAGACCAGGGAGGUUCUCACAAUAAUGGAGCAUGCUAUACUCUCAGAAGAAAAACAGGCAGGCCCAGAAAAUUGAACUUCAGCUGUGUAUCCACUAUUAAUGCAUUUUAGCAUGCUUACACAUUUCUUAUUUGAGUGACCCAACCCGCCCUGCCAAUUCUGAAUUUAUUACAACAACAACCUGUAUCUGCAUCUCACUUUCUACCAUAUGUUUUCUUUCUGUGUUCCCUUUUUAAAUCCAUAAGCUUCCCACCCCAGAUCACUCACAGAGGAAUUGAUGUUACAGGUGAGGCUAGGACUCAACCUCAGCAUAGCUCACAAGCAGUACUGCCUUACUGAUACUAUGUCUUACCUGAUGGUGUCACUGGAGUCAAAAGAGAAAAGUUCUAAGAAGAUUUAAUUUAUCUCAAUACAACAACAAAUAGGGUGUUUUCCUUUGUGUUCUUACUUGUAUUGACUAUGACAUUUUUCAGAACACCUGUAGACUUUAGUUAACCUUCCAUCUGGGCCACCUUGCUUCCGCCACUGUUCCUGUCUACUGCCUCAAAUCGUCCUGUUUCAAAUGCUACCUUUGGACCAUGAUUGGUUUUUCACCUAACAAGGAUAUCAAAACAAAUGUUUUAUUAUGAAACAUCAAGCUACCUAAGAGAAUGAGUCUUCAGAGAAAAAUGUUAAAAUUGUAGAAACACUGGCUUAGCUAAACCAAUAAAGAUAAACAAAACAGUGAAGAGUUUUAUUUGAAAGUUUUCUAGAGUUUCACACUUUGACCAAAGCUCUUAAUAUAUGCUGUGUUCCCUGCCAGGAUUUUUAUUCCAUACAUUUUUUAAAAUCCUGACAUUGGGAGAGAAGAUAAUAUCUUCCCAAUAUUUUAU
rnacentral:lncRNA from 1 species